UACGAAGGGGGCUAGCGUUGCUCGGAAUCACUGGGCGUAAAGGGUGCGUAGGCGGGUCUUUUAAGUCAGGGGUGAAAUCCUGGAGCUCAACUCCAGAACUGCCUUUGAUACUGAGGAUCUUGAGUUCGGGAGAGGUGAGUGGAACUGCGAGUGUAGAGGUGAAAUUCGUAGAUAUUCGCAAGAACACCAGUGGCGAAGGCGGCUCACUGGUCCGGUACUGACGCUGAGGUGCGAAAGCGUGGGGAGCAAACAGG
rnacentral:rRNA from 1 species